AGUAACGCGUGGGUAACCUGCCUCACACAGGGGAUAACAGUUGGAAACGGCUGCUAAUACCGCAUAAGCGCACAGUACCGCAUGGUACAGUGUGAAAAACUCCGGUGGUGUGAGAUGGACCCGCGUCUGAUUAGCUAGUUGGCAGGGCAACGGCCUACCAAGGCGACGAUCAGUAGCCGACCUGAGAGGGUGACCGGCCACAUUGGGACUGAGACACGGCCCAA
rnacentral:rRNA from 1 species